rnacentral:rRNA from 1 species
GGGAUGACACAGUAGGAUAAGCUAAGCACACUGUUGGUUAUGUGUGCCCAAGCAUUGAGGCAGUCAAAGUAGGCAAAUCCGCUUUGAUAAUGCUGGGAUGUGAUGGGGAGCGAAAUUUAGUAGCGAAGUAGCUGAUUUCACACUGUCAAGAAAAGUCUCUAUCGAGGUUAAAGGUACCCGUACCGCAAACCGACACAGGUGGGUGAGGAGAGUAUCCUAAGGCCAGCGAGAGAACUGUUGUUAAGGAACUCGGCAAAAUGACCCCGUAACUUAGGGAUAAGGGGUGCCACCAUCAGGUGGCCGCAGAGAAUAGGCCCAAGCGACUGUUUACCAAAAACAUAGGUUUCUGCUAAGUCGCAAGACGAUGUAUAGGAGCUGACGCCUGCCCGGUGCUGGAAGGUUAAGGGGAUCUGUUAGAGCAAUCGAAGCAGUGAACUUAAGCCCCAGUAAACGGCGGCCGUAACUAUAACGGUCCUAAGGUAGCGAAAUUCCUUGUCGGGUAAGUUCCGACCCGCACGAAAGGCGUAACGAUUUGGGCACUGUCUCAACAACAGACUCGGUGAAAUUGUAAUUCCGGUGAAGAUGCCGGAUACCUGCGACAGGACGGAAAGACCCCAUGGAGCUUUACUGUAGCUUGACAUUGGGUCUUGGUACUACAUGUACAGGAUAGGUGGGAGGCUUUGAAACCAGGACGCCAGUUUUGGCGGAGCCAUCCUUGGGAUACCACCCUUGUAGUACUGGGACUCUAACCAUAGGCCAUGAAUCUGGUCUUGGGACACUGUCAGGUGGGCAGUUUGACUGGGGCGGUCGCCUCCCAAAAGGUAACGGAGGCGCUCAAAGGUUCUCUCAGUACGGUCGGAAAUCGUACGUAGAGUGUAAAGGCAAAAGAGAGCUUGAUUGCAAGACAUACAGGUCGAGCAAGGAUGAAAAUCGGACUUAGUGAUCCGGUGGUUCUGCGUGGAAGGGCCAUCGCUCAACGGAUAAAAGCUACCCUGGGGAUAACAGGCUUAUCUCCCCCAAGAGUCCACAUCGACGGGGAGGUUUGGCACCUCGAUGUCGGCUCAUCACAUCCUGGGGCUGUAGUAGGUCCCAAGGGUUGGGCUGUUCGCCCAUUAAAGUGGUACGCGAGCUGGGUUCAGAACGUCGUGAGACAGUUCGGUCCCUAUCCGUCGCAGGCGUAGGAAAUUUGAGAAGACCUGUCCUUAGUACGAGAGGACCGGGAUGGACGUACCUCUGGUGUACCAGUUGUCCUGCCAAG